rnacentral:rRNA from 1 species
UACGUAGGGGGUAAGCGUUGUCCGGAAUCAUUGGGCGUAAAGCGCGUGUAGGCGGUCCGGUAAGUCUGCUGUGAAAGUCGGGGGCUCAACCCUCGGAUGCCGGUGGAUACUGUCGGGCUUGAGUACGGAAGAGGCGAGUGGAAUUCCUGGUGUAGCGGUGAAAUGCGCAGAUAUCAGGAGGAACACCAAUUGCGAAGGCAGCUCGCUGGGACGUUACUGACGCUGAGACGCGAAAGCGUGGGGAGCAAACAGG